rnacentral:rRNA from 1 species
GGGCCCGCACAAGCGGUGGAGCAUGUGGUUUAAUUCGAUGAUACGCGAGGAACCUUACCAGGGCUUAAAUGUAGUGGGACAGGUCUAGAGAUAGACCCUUCUUCGGACUCAUUACAAGGUGCUGCAUGGUUGUCGUCAGCUCGUGCCGUGAGUGUCAGGUUAAGUCCUAUAACGAGCGCAACCCCUAUCGUUAGUUGCCAGCGAGUAAUGUCGGGAACUCUAACGAAACUGCCAGUGCAAACUGUGAGGAAGGUGGGGGAUGACGUCAAAUCAUCACGGCCCUUACGUCCUGGGCUACACACGUGCUACAAUGGCCGGUACAGAGAGCAGCCACUUCGCAAGAAGGAG